CACUCCAACACAACUAAUCAACACAUAAGCACACACCCAAAUGCCCCCUUGAGAGCGAGCGCACACACACUCUCUCUCUCUUCUUCAACCUCCUCCCUCUCUCUCUCUCUCUUCCCUGCAUUCUUAGGCUUACAUACAUGGCAUACAUGGCUCAGCAGCUCGUCGGCCGGAUCACAAUGGAGGUGGCGCCAUCGAAGCUGCCGUCGACGAUGGCCAGGUGUGCUAGGCUCCCGAGGAACCUCGACACGAUCGCGGAGGACGACGACGACAAGGAGGCAGCAGCCAUGGAGUCGACAAGGGAGCUGCCUCUCCGCAAUGCGAGCCGCGGCGCGCAGGUCGUCGUCGUCGACGCCCCUGUGCACUGCGCCGACAAGCUGGCCUGCUACCUCGCCCCCAUGGCGAAGACGACCGAGUGCCUCAAGAUCAAAGCCUAAGUUUGUCAGGACAUAGAGAGAGACGAGGGUGAGGCACUCGUCUCAUGGAGCUGGAUUUCUUGCUCUCUUGUUUUAUUGUGAGCAUAUGGCAAUCCGUUUCGUUUUACGUAUACUGCAGUUGCUGUCAGUGUUUUGCUCGGUGUACCUGAUGUGCGUUGGUGCGUAAGAGUGCUGUAACCACCAAUAAAAAAACUAUACUAGUAACGUGUGUUUUUUAGGCUGUUCACAUCGAAUUAAAAUCAGUUAAAUUAAU